GCAGUCGUGGCCGAGUGGUUAAGGCGUCUGACUCGAAAUCGGAUUCCCUGUGGGAGUGUAGGUUCGAAUCCUACCGGCUGCG
rnacentral:tRNA from 1 species